rnacentral:rRNA from 1 species
UACAGAGGUGGCAAGCGUUGUUCGGAAUUACUGGGCGUAAAGGGCGCGUAGGCGGUUCGGUAAGUCCUGUGUGAAAUCCCUCGGCUCAACUGAGGAACUGCACGGGAGACUGCCGGGCUUGAGUUCGGGAGAGGGAAGCGGAAUUCCGGGUGUAGCGGUGAAAUGCGCAGAUAUCAGGAGGAACACCGGUGGCGAAGGCGGGUCUCUGGGCCGAUACUGACGCUGAGGAGCGAAAGCGUGGGGAGCGAACAGG